CACGUAGGGUGCGAGCGUUGUCCGGAUUUACUGGGCGUAAAGAGCGUGUAGGCGGCCAAGCAGGUCCGUUGUGAAAACUGGAGGCUUAACCUCCAGACGUCGACGGAAACCGCGUGGCUAGAGUCCGGAAGAGGAGAGUGGAAUUCCUGGUGUAGCGGUGAAAUGCGCAGAUAUCAGGAAGAACACCAAUGGCGAAGGCAGCUCUCUGGGACGGUACUGACGCUGAGACGCGAAAGCGUGGGGAGCGAACAGG
rnacentral:rRNA from 1 species